GGUAAAGUUGGUGGCGUUGCCGUUGUUGUUGUUGUUGCUUCUGUUGUUGUUGUUGCCCCAACUGUGUCUCCUGGCGAAAAAGCACCACAUCCCCGCUAUCCGUCUCCAACAAGCCUAUCGAUCCUCCAUCGUUGUUCGAUUCCUCGAUAGUCUCAUCGAUCAGUUUCACGGAUCUCUCCGUUCCUUUCUCGUAUCCCGUCAUUUCGUCCACGCAUUCGGCCAAUUCUGUGAACGUUGAAAAUAAAAAUGAAAGGGGAAGGAAAGGAAAAAUAUAUAUAUAUAUAUAUGUCGAGUUCGAUCGACGACAACAACGUGAAUUACUUCAUUCAUCGGGGAGACGACGAUAAAGGAACUCGAAAUUCCUUGUAACGUCGAGUUUCGCGAACUGUUAUGCAUUACAUCAUAGUUCCAAGUUCCAUCGUGUCGCGUAGGGAAAUCGACGAAACGUGAUCGAUCGAUCCGAUCGUAAAUAUCAUGGUCAAUGCGUUUCGAUGACACGAGCAAACUGUUGCUAACCGGUUGAAAGAGGAGAUGGGGACGGGAGGAGUUGAAAAAUAUAUUGGAAAAAAAGGAGGACAGUUUCGCAACGAGACGAAAGAUAAAGAGAGGAAGGAGAAAAUUAAUAUUUCAUUUUUCUCUCUCUCUUUUUUUUUUCUUCUUUUUUUUGAAUAAUAAAUAUGAACAGUGGA